GUAAGGAAUAUUGGUCAAUGGGCGGAAGCCUGAACCAGCCAUGCCGCGUGCAGGACGACGGCCCUACGGGUUGUAAACUGCUUUUGCCCGGGAAUAACCCCCCGCUCUUGAGCGGGGCUGAACGUACCGGGAGAAUAAGGAUCGGCUAACUCCGUGCCUGCAGCCGCGGUAAUACGGAGGAUCCGCGCGUUAUCCGGAUUUAUUGGGUUUAAAGGGUGCGUAGGCGGCCUGUUAAGUCAGGGGUGAAAUACGGCAGCUCAACUGUUGCAGGAGACAUGAUCCUGACGGGCUUGAAUACCGGUGAAGGCGGCAGAAUGAGACAAGUAGCGGUGAAAUGCAUAGAUAUGUCUCAGAACCCCGAUUGCGAAGGCAGCUGCCUAACCGGCGAUUGACGCUGAUGCACGAAAGCGUGGGGAUCGAACAGGAUUAGAAACCCUAGUGGUCC
rnacentral:rRNA from 1 species